GAUGAACGCUAGCUACAGGCUUAACACAUGCAAGUCGAGGGGUAACGAGAGGGAAGCUUUCUUUCCUUGUCGACGACCGGCGCACGGGUGAGUAACGCGUAUCCAACCUGCCCCCAACUAGGGAAUAACCUUGCGAAAGUAAGACUAAUACCCUAUAAUUUCCUCAGAUGUCAUCUGACGAGGAAUAAAGAUUUAUCGGUUGUGGAUGGGGAUGCGUCUGAUUAGCUUGUUGGCGGGGUAACGGCCCACCAAGGCAACGAUCAGUAGGGGUUCUGAGAGGAAGGUCCCCCACAUUGGAACUGAGACACGGUCCAAACUCCUACGGGAGGCAGCAGUGAGGAAUAUUGGUCAAUGGGCGGAAGCCUGAACCAGCCAAGUAGCGUGCAGGAUGACGGCCCUAUGGGUUGUAAACUGCUUUUAUACAGGAAUAAAGUUAGCCACGUGUGGUUAUUUGUAGGUACUGUAUGAAUAAGGACCGGCUAGUUCCGUGCCAGCCGCCGCCGUAA
rnacentral:rRNA from 1 species